AUUGAACGCUGGCGGCAGGCCUAACACAUGCAAGUCGAACGAGUGGCGGACGGGUGAGUAAUGUCUGGGAAACUGCCUGAUGGAGGGGGAUAACUACUGGAAACGGUAGCUAAUACCGCAUACCAUCAGAUUUGCCCAGAUGGGAUUAGCUUGUUGGUGGGGUAACGGCUCACCAAGGCGACGAUCCCUAGCUGGUCUGAGAGGAUGACCCGCCACCCUGUGACUGAUACACGGUCCAGACUCCGACGGGAGGCAGCAGGGGGGAAUAUUGAACAAGGGGCGAAAGACUGAGGCAGCCAGGCCGCGUGUAUGAAGAAGGUCUUAGGAUGGUAAAAUGCUUUCACCGGGGACGCGGUACCCGGAGAAGAAGCCACGGCUAACUUCGUGCCAGCCGCCGCGGUAAUUC
rnacentral:rRNA from 1 species